UCUUGCUGAAUCACAGGAAGAGACUUAGGCCUGGAUAGAUGUCUUUGGGAAAAGGAGAGAGUUGCAUAUUUUCAUCAGCUUAGAAUGUACUUCACCAAGAGGCAGGAGGAAGUAUUGACGUAUUGCUUCUGCCAUGAGCUCUUGAGGAAGUGACACUUACUCUGCUGUCAGGUCCAAGUUUGCCGACCUUGCCUAUGGCGAACUCUGCCUUGAAAGAUAACUGUGCAUACAGAAGGGCUGAGAGGUCUGAGCAGAAAAAAGAAGGUGGAUUCUGGAGUCCCUAGAGGGACUCUAGAGUCCUCUAGAGGAACGAAGGGACAGUCGUCUUUAUCCUCC